CGGGGUAAAGGCCUACCAAGGCGACGAUCCGUAGCUGGUCUGAGAGGACGACCAGCCACACUGGAACUGAGACACGGUCCAGACUCCUACGGGAGGCAGCAGUGGGGAAUUUCGGACAAUGGGGGCAACCCUGAUCCAGCCAUUCCGCGUGAGUGAAGAAGGCCUUCGGGUUGUAAAGCUCUUUCGGCAGGAACGAAACGGUGUGGGCCAAUACCCUGCAUCAAUGACGGUACCUGAAGAAGAAGCACCGGCUAACUACGUGCCAGCAGCCGCGGUAAUACGUAGGGUGCGAGCGUUAAUCCGAAUUACUGGGCGUAAAGCGUGCGCAGGCGGUUCUAUAAGACAGAUGUGAAAUCCCCGGGCUUUACCUGGGAACUGCGUUUGUGACUGUAGGACUCCAGUGUGGCAGAAGGGGGUGGAAUUCCACGUGUAGCAGUGAAAUGCGUAGAGAUGUGGAGGAACACCGAUGGCGAAAGCAGCCCCCUGGGUCAACACUGACGCUCAUGCACGAAAGCGUGGGGAGCAAACACGAUUGGAUACCCUGGUAGUCCACGCCCUAAACGAUGCGAACUAGUGUUGGAGAAAGAGACUCCUUUAGUACCGUAGCUACGCGUGGAGUUCGCCCCCCUGGGGAGUACGGUCGCCACGAUUAUAACUCAAGGAAUUGACGGGGACCCGCACAAGCGGUGGAUGAUGGUGGAUUAAUUCGAUUGCACGCGAAAACCUACCUACCCUGACAUGCCAGAUCCUGCUAGAUGUGGGAUGCUCGCAAGAGAGCCUGACACACGUGCUGCAUGCUGUCG
rnacentral:rRNA from 1 species